rnacentral:misc_RNA from 1 species
UCCGGUUUGUCACCGGCAGUCUGGCGUGAGUCCCCAACUAAAUGAUGGCAACACGCCACAGGGGUUGCGCUCGUUGCGCCACUUAAGGCAACACCUCACGGCACGAGCUGACGACAGCCAUGCAGCACCUGUGCGGGCUCCCGAAGGAGGACCGGCUUUCACCGGCUUCACCCCGCAUGUCAAGCCCUGGUAAGGUUCUUCGCGUUGCAUCGAAUUAAGCCACAUGCUCCGCCGCUUGUGCGGGUCCCCGUCAAUUCCUUUGAGUUUUAGCCUUGCGGCCGUACUCCCCAGGCGGGGCGCUUAAUGCGUUAGCUGCGGCACGGAACCCGUGGAUAGGGCCCCACACCUAGCGCCCAACGUUUACGGCAUGGACUAC